ensembl:lncRNA
UCUAUAACCUUCCCUGGUACCGAGGUCAGGCUGACAGUCUGUAGUUCCCCAGAUCCUCCUUACUGCCCUUCUUGUAGAUGGGAGUCAUCUGGGAUGUCUUCAGAUAACUGGGAGUGCUGGUAGAUGGCAGAGAGCAGCUUGGCAAUCACCCCUACCAGCUCCCUCAGCACCCAAGGGUGGAGCCCAUCCGGUCCCGUGUACUUGUGACUUCUUGCCUGCAUUGCUCCUGUGAGGCCCAACACAAAGAGCAACCUGCACCAAAGUGAGAGUGUCCAAGUGCGUUCUCAUUAACGCAUCACUUGAAGUAGUACUUACAUCAUCUUUUCUUUGUGUGAAGUGACCCUUUAAGGCCACUUAAUGCCACUCCGUGAUGCUGACUGGUAACCAGUUGGAUUUCAUGGCGUGCAAGUCAUUACUUGGUGAAAACUGUGGAGCUUUAUGUGCUGCUUUUAGGACAACACAGUCCCUGUCUGUGCAAGAAUGUAGAGCUGUGGGAAGGACUGGGCAUGUAGAUGGCUGCUGUGGUGCAGCAUGGGGAUUGUCUGUGAGCUUAGUUGACCAGAGUGAGCUACAGCGAUGGAGGUGCUGGUCUUUCAUGGCAGGACUUGCCAGGCCUGUCUUAGGUGGCAGUCUUAACAUGAGAUGAGCUCAUGAUUACCCCUGGCUGUGGGCCAGGUGAAGCUGGAGAUACUAGGCUGAACAGGAAGGAAGCCCACCUAGUGGGUCAGACCUAUUUGGACUUAUUGCUUCCCUGCUUCCUCACUUUCUCAAAGGCACUCGACCUUUGCCUUUGCUGGACAAGAUGCUCAUUCGAACUUCAAAACCUAAGGGACAUCUGGCUCUGGAAUUUCUGGGCUUUCAAGUUGUACCUGACAGACCUGAAUCCUGGGAAACUGUGCUCUGGGUGAGGGCCUGGGGAUGAGGCUUUUGUGGGAGUUUUAAUUGCUCAGUUUUCAUUGUCAUGAACAGAUGCAUUCUUUGAACAGAAGUAGUGGCUCAUUUCAGGCUUGUGAGGAGAAGGUGUUGCCCUAACUCCUUCAACUUGAAGACUUGGAUCUUGGCUUCAGUGUUUCGACUCUUAGAAAACAUGCACAGUGCUGUGCAGCUUCCCUUUAACUUCAUCGGAAUCGGCUGCCUCUACUCUGGGUCAGUCACAGAGAACCAAAACUAGUAUCUGAAUAAACAGCCCAUUCAUUUGAGGACUGUUAUUCCCAGUACCAGGAUCCGGAACACAAUCUGGGCAGCCAGCUAAUGAGAACACCAGAGCUGUGAGACUGUGGAGGUGGGGCAGAGAAGAAAACAGAACAAACACUUUUUUGUGGCUUGGGGCAAAAGAGAUUCAGCCAAAGGUUAAUUGCUGUCUACCCUAAAAUGCUGUGAAGUAUUGCUGCAUGGUGUCAUACAGCUGCUUCGUUCCAGUGCAGAGGUGUCUGUUUCAGUGGUGGGUGGCAUGAGCCAGUAUCCUUUUCUUAGUUGCACGGGGGUGUUGUGAGGUCUCUUGCAACUUCCAAAAAGCCUACUAAAGCUUUCGUACUGUUUAGGAUGUCACUGCAGCAUGGAAGCAGGCAGUGAAUAAGCCACCAAGUGAGCAGCCCUCCCGUCCCCUUGUUUCACCCUCACUGGCAGAAAUGUGGAAAUAAGUAAGCGGUAGUGUUGUAGUUUAACCCAGCAGCAGCUGAACACCACAUAGCCCUUUGCUCAUUCCCUCCCAUUCUCGUCUUUCAGCGGAUGAGGGAGAGAAUUGAAGGGGGGGAAGGGAAGGUAGUACAAAUCAUAGGUUUAGAUAAAACCGCUACUAGGACAGAAAAGGAAGAGAGAGGUAACAGUAAUGAUAAUAAUUAUUAUAUAUACACAAAACAAAUGAAACACAAAGCAAUUUGCUUGCUGACUGAUGCCCAACCUGUCCCCAAGCAGCGGCUGCCUCCUGCCCAACCCCCCCCAGUUUUCAGAGUCACAGAACAGUAGGGGUUGGAAGGGACCUCAGGAGAUCCUUUAGUCCAACCUGCUGCUGAUGUAGUUUCCCUACAGGUUCCCUAAGUAGGUUGCACAGGACACCAGACAGGUUUUGAGCAUCUCUGGAGUAGGAGACUCCAUGACCUCUCUGGCCAGAUGUUACAGUUGGAAAGAAUAACGUGGAGAAAUGGAAAGAAACAAACAGAGAAGGAAUGCUUACCCGUAUUUGAAGAUUCAGGCUCACGAUGGAAGACUCCACAGAGGAGGGAUCUCCAGAAAGAGAUCCUUCCCCAGUGGCAGUCAGCCCUUAAGUGGGGUCUAGGAGAGGUGGAGCCAUGCUCCACUGGCAAUAGUAGGAUUUCUUAGACCUUUAGCGUGUUUUUGUCUAGUCAAGAUAGCAUUACCAAUUUUGGCUCUAGCUAUCACCUUUUUCUGAUAAAGUGUCAUAGACUACCAUAUCAAAUACUGUAACCUUUAACUCCAUUAUUGGGAGUAUUCUGCAGCACAGGAUCAGUAUUUUGAUAGUUUUGUAACUGGCAAGAGAUGCUACUUUGAAGAAUAGUCCUUCUGCCAUGAAAUAAUGUGGUCUUAGUGCCUCUUUCAGUGGUUGAAACUCUGCCUUGAACAAAGCAGUACAAACAUUCCCUAGCAGAACUCCGGCUUGAUAAUGGUGCAGCACAUCUGGCACAUUUCUCUGGUCUUGCACGCUCUUUCUUGUUGAAACUGGGUGCUAAUACAGGAACUACCUGGCCUACCUCUGUACUACUGACUUCUGCUCCAGCAAGUGCUUGUUAAAUUAACAUUGGUGCUUGACAACCCAUUUUCCUGCCCAGCUCAGGUAAGACAGCUCUUUGUUCUGUGAUCCUUAUGCUGGGCGACAGGAUGCUCUGGGACAGCCCGAGGGGUUGGAGCCACGUCUCUUCCCAUUUCCAUCACACACAGCCGCCCAGUGCCUGCUGGUUCCACCCGGGUGCAAGCAGCCAAGUGCGGAUUUGCCUUCUGGCUUUGCAAAGGAGCUGGGGCUGUCUUGGUGGCAUGAGUUGCCACUGAACCUGCAGCAGGGCUUUGGAGGAGGGUGGGUGGUAACAUCAGCUCCGUAACUCUAUCAGCAACAUGUUAGCUGGGUUGAAUCUUGUCACUCAGCAACCAGAGGCAUGCUUUGAAAUGAGUUGUAGUGGUUUUGUGCAACACAACUUGCUCUGUAUUCCCAAACCGAACCGUCAAGUGCCAUCACGGGUGUCCUGGAUCUUAGCAGGGAACCAUGUGAGAAAUCUGAAGGGCUGUGCAAGGUGUCAGAACUCCAAAGUGGCUGCAGACAUCUACAGAUAUUUAAUGGGAAACAAAACAAAUCUUUACUUGUCCUAAUACUGUUAAAUUCACUUACUACAAACCUGCUUUCAGCUGCUUGGCUAAGUCGUACUGGAAAUAAUUGGACACACCUACGAAAAAUUGCAGUGGAAUUUUGCUAUGAACUGCAAUGUUCUCUUCAGGUCACCCAUCUCCUCUGUUAGAUAACUCUCUUAACAGCAGUUGGGUAACAGCUCCUCUCCUUCAAGUGGCCUUCCCCUUUUAAGCUUUAAAGACAGUGGCUGUUCUUUGAAGAUCCCUUAAAGUAACGUUUGUGGGGUUUAUAAUUCCUCACAUGUAACACUGGGAUGCUGCUCAGGACAUGCUCAGAGCUCUCACUGGGGCUGUUACCCAUGAUAUGGGCUUCAGAGCUCUGCUCCUCUCUUGGGGGAGGCCAGGAGGAUAACGGAGGUCCUGCCUGGUUUGACUGCAGUCCUCUGGUACAGAGACCAUGGUGGUCAGCUCGCACUUCUGCUCUUUCCAUCGUGUCCGGAGCUGCGGUGUUUCUGGGCAGUAGCAGUACUUUGCUAUUCCAGUUGCAGCUCUUGCCUUGGUAUGCCUGCAGCAUGGAAGGCACUGCCAAUAGGGUUCUGUUCUGUCAUCCUUAGGGAUGAGAAAUUAGGAAUUCUUGAAUACUGACCUUGUGCUUUGAGAGGCCUCAAUUAUGUAAUCUUUUCCAGCCUUCUGUGAGGCUGUGAUGAUGUGUCAGAGUCCCUGAGUAUCUCUGAAGCCCAGAAGGCCCAGCAGAGCUUCUGGCAAUCAAGAUCAAAGCACAGGGCUGCCUGCUAAGCAGCAUCGAAAAGAAAUCUUUGCACUACUUCCCUCUUCAAGACUGCGGUGUCUCCAGAAUGAUCACGUCUUUGAAUCAAGUGUAAGAAGCUGAGGCACCAGGAGACUGCAGCUGGGUGUGAUGUGGGCUUCCCAAGGAACAAUGUCAAGUAAGUCCACGUCCUUAGGUGUAAGUGCAGUGAGUGGAAGAGCAAAAGCUGGGCAGUGGACAUGAACACUUGGCGGCUUGCUGCCCCUGGGCUCAUCUCUAGCAAGCCUGGAUGGGUGCGACUUAUGGGAGCUGCUGUUUCCCAGGGUGAGACUCUGGGGAUUGAGUUUUGUCAUCUCCCUCUUUAGAAGUUCACGUUUAAAAUUGUCCCGCUUAGACAGGGCCAGCAGAAAAUGAGGGCGAUAUGCAGAAGUGGUGAAACCUCAACUUCUGGGUAUGAGCUUUCAAUUUUUUAUUUAUUUAGUUAUUUUAAUGACUCUCAGGGAAGUGGUUCUUGUCUGAAGCUCUCAUUCUAGAGAAGUUCCAUUUCCCUGAUGCUUGUGUCUAAUUAACGUUCUUGUCAGUUUGACUGCCGUCCUGGAAAACAGGUGUAGAGCUGCUAUAAGUAGCAGGGAGCCUAAUGCUUGCAGGGAGUUCCUCACAAACUCUAAAUUACAGUUUUGCUUCCUGUGCCAUGACCUCAGAGCCCUGACCUGCAACUGCAGCAUAUUUUCUGUGACUAACAGCUGUAAUUCCCUAAUUAUCAUGCUCCAUUCUCCUGCUGUGCUGUAGAUUUUGUUACCAAGGGAGCAAGCGAAGUUUCCUCAUUCCUAUCCUUGCUCCGCACACUUCCAACUGUUUUAAAUCUGCCAUUUGAUGCAGCCCAUAAAGACAAAUGACUAUCUCUUGUUUCAGAUGCUCAUAGUCUCCAGGACAUAUUAUGUACCCAUGCACUGGGAAGGAGGAGGGUAAAGCAAACCUUCUAGCCUUUCUUUUAGUGAAGGCCGAUGCCUUGCUGUUCCCAGGUUCAAGAACCUUUACUAGCUGCAGUGCUUCGGUGCAAAGUGCAGGACUAAAUGUGGCCUUGCACUUAGCUUGCUCAGUGGUCACUGCUUUGUUAGAUUGACUAGCAGAGCUUCUGUUGAUGCUGGGAAAGAAAGGUGCAUGUAAAGCUCUGAAAGCUGACUCUGUGUGUGUGAUGUAAUGGGGAGGCAUGUCACUGCCUGACAUGAUAAUGGGGCCAACAGGUCACUUUCAUUUCGUCCUCUGAGUUGGAGGCUGAGGACCAACGGUUACUUUGCCAGAUGGAAAUGAGAAUACACCUAUGCUAUAAUAAACAUGCUAUUUCCUCUCUGGAGGCAUGAGAGGCCUUGCAGAGGGAUCUAGAUUAGAGCAGUGGACAAUCAGCGGUGGCAUAAAGCUCAGUAAAGGUGAGUGCUGGGUGCUGUACCUGGGGUGGGAUAAUGCCAGACGCAGGACAGAUGGGAGACAAGUGGCUGAAGAGCAGCUCAGCAGGAAGGGACCUGGGAGUGUUUGCUGGUGGCAGCAGUCUCAGCAUGAGCUGGAAAUGUGCCCUGGCAGCCAAGAGAGAAAGCUGCUUUUUGGAGUGCAUUGAACACAGCGUAGCUGUUUGGUCAAAAGGUGAUUGAUUCUCCUGCUGUAUUUAGUGUUUGUGUGGCCUUACCUUGACUAUUGUGUGCAGUUCUGGUCUCAACAAUAUAGAAAGUGUAUGAAGGUCCUUGAAAGCAUCCCAGUGCAUGUCCUGGGGGGAGAGGCUGAGCACACGUGGGCUGCCUGUGUUGGAGGAGACUGAGAGGC